GGCAUGCUGGAGGUAUCAGAAGUGCGAAUGCUGACAUAAGUAACGAUAAAGCGGGUGAAAAGCCCGCUCGCCGGAAGACCAAGGGUUCCUGUCCAACGUUAAUCGGGGCAGGGUGAGUCGACCCCUAAGGCGAGGCCGAAAGGCGUAGUCGAUGGGAAACGGGUUAAUAUUCCCGUACUUGGUGUUACUGCGAAGGGGGGACGGAGAAGGCUAUGUUGGCCGGGCGACGGUUGUCCCGGUUUAAGCGUGUAGGUGUGUGUUCCAGGUAAAUCCGGUUCACUUUAACACUGAGGCGUGAUGACGAGGCACUACGGUGCUGAAGCAACAAAUGCCCUGCUUCCAGGAAAAGCCUCUAAGCAUCAGGUAACAUCAAAUCGUACCCCAAACCGACACAGGUGGUCAGGUAGAGAAUACCAAG
rnacentral:rRNA from 1 species